rnacentral:rRNA from 1 species
GACGAACGCUGGCGGCGUGCUUAACACAUGCAAGUCGAACGGUAACAGGGUGCUUGCACCGCUGACGAGUGGCGAACGGGUGAGUAAUGCGUCGGAACGUGCCGAGUAGUGGGGGAUAACGCAGCGAAAGUUGUGCUAACACCGCAUACGUACUGAGGUAGAAAGUGGGGGACCUUCGGGCCUCACGCUAUUCGAGCGGCCGACGUCUGAUUAGCUAGUAGGUGAGGUAAAGGCUCACCUAGGCGACGAUCAGUAGCGGGUCUGAGAGGAUGAUCCGCCACACUGGGACUGAGACACGGCCCAGACUCCUACGGGAGGCAGCAGUGGGGAAUUUUGGACAAUGGGCGAAAGCCUGAUCCAGCCAUGCCGCGUGUCUGAAGAAGGCCUUCGGGUUGUAAAGGACUUUUGUCAGGGAGGAAAUCCCUAGUGCUAAUAACACUGGGGGAUGACAGUACCUGAAGAAUAAGCACCGGCUAACUACGUGCCAGCAGCCGCCGUAA